rnacentral:rRNA from 1 species
GACGAACGCUGGCGGCGUGCUUAACACAUGCAAGUCGAACGAAGUGGCGAAAGGGUGGGUAACGCGAAAUCAACCUGCCCUUCAGAGGGGGACAACAGGUGGAAACGACUGCUAAUACCGCAUACUGAAGGAGGGGAUUGCGUCUGAUUAGCUAGUUGGAGGGGUACCGGCCCACCCAGGCGAUGAUCAGUAGCCGUUCUGAGAGGAUGAACGGCCACAUUGGGACUGAGACACGGCCCAGACUCCUACGGUAGGCAGCAGUGGGGAAUCUUCCGCAAUGGACGAAAGUCUGACGAAGCAACGCCGCGUGAGUGAUGACGGCCUUCGGGUUGUAAAGCUCUGUUAAUCGGGACGCGGUACCGGAAUAGAAAGCCACGGCUAACUACGUGCCAGCAGCCGCGGUAAUUC